GGGGGUAAAUUAAUAAAAUAAAAUUAAUAAAAGAAUUUUUAAUAUUGGGGGAUAUUAAAGUAUUUUUUUAAAGAAAAAAUAAAAAAUUUUAUAGUGAAUUAGUAUUGUAGAAGAAAUUUGAAAUAAAAUUGAAAAUUAAAUAAAAAAUAAGUAAAUUUAAUUUGUUGUAUCUUGGGUAUCAGAGUUUAUUUAAAAAUAUUUAAUAAAUAAUAAAACCUCGAAUUUAAAAGAGUUAAUUAAUUAUAAAAGUUAAUGUUGAAUAAUUAUUUUUAAUAGUUAAUUAGAAAUGAAAUGUUAACCGUUUUUAAAUAUAUCUAGUUUUUUCAGAAAAAAAUUUAAUUUUAAAUUUAAAAAAUUUAAUAUUUAAUUAAUUAAAUAUUAAAUUUUAAAUUAAAUAUUUUAAGGGAUAAGCUUUAAUUUAUAUAAUUAUAAUAAAAAUAAUUAUUAAUAAAAUUUUUAAAAUUUAUAUUGUUUAAAAAUUAUAAUUUAUUAAAAAAAAUUUUAUGAAAAAUAAAAUUUAAUUAAAAAUUUAAUUUUUUAUGAAAAAAUAUUUUUUAAUGGGGGGAAAAUAAAAAUAAUGAUAAAAUUAGUAUAUUAUUAAUUAAAAAUAUAAAAUUUAAAUUAAAAUUAAUUUAAAGGAAUUCGGCAAAAUUUUAUAUUCACUUGUUUAUCAAAAACAUGUCUUUUAGAUAAUAAUUUAAAGUCUAACUCUGCCCACUGAUUAAUAAAAAUUAAAGGGCUGCAAGUAUAUUGACUGUACAAAGGUAGCAUAAUCAUUAGUCUUUUAAUUGAAGACUUGUAUGAAAGAUUUGAUGAAAUAUAUACUGUCUCUAAAUUAUUAAUAAAAAUUAAUUUUUUAGUUAAAAAGCUAAAAUUUACUUAAAAGACGAGAAGACCCUAUAGAGUUUUAUAGUAAUAAUAAUUAAAAUUAAAUAUUUAAUUAUAAAUUAAAAUUAUUAUUAUUAUUUUAUUGGGGUGAUAAAAAAAUUAAAAGAACUUUUUUUUAAAAAAAAAUUCAUAAAUAAAUGAAUUAUUGAUCCAUUUAUAAUGAUUAGAAGAAAAAAUUACCUUAGGGAUAACAGCGUAAUUUUUUUUUUUAGUACAAAUAAAAAAAAAAGGUUGCGACCUCGAUGUUGGAUUAAGAUAAAAAUUAAAUGUAAAAGUUUAAAAUUUUGAUCUGUUCGAUCAUUAAAAUCUUACAUGAUCUGAGUUCAAACCGGUGUAAGCCAGGUUGGUUCCUACCUUUAGGAAAUUAAAAUAUUUUA
rnacentral:rRNA from 1 species